rnacentral:tRNA from 1 species
GCCUGGGUGGCUCAGUUGGUUAAGCGUCUGACUUCGGCUCAGGUCAUGAUCUCGUGGUUCAUGGGUUCAAGUCCUGCCUUGGGCU